rnacentral:lncRNA from 1 species
GGCUGACCAUGGAACUCACUGGCAUUAUAAUGGAUCAGGGAAGCCUGCUAUGCACCUGGCUAUAAAAGCCUUUGCAGAAGUCGCACUGUGUGCACGUGUGCAUUUAUACGUGGAAAUAUUUGCAUGUUUUGAAGGACUUGACAUUGCAUAGAUAUCAAGAGAAACUUUUUAUUCUCCAACUACAGUGCGGGUUGGAUCUUCAGAGGAUCCUAAGGGUCUAAUGUGCAUGGUAGAGCUACAGGAGCUGGCUCAAGUUUACAGAUACAGACAAUACAGGGUUGACUUGGGACCUUCAGGACUGAGAAGAAUCAAAGGACUAUCCUACUGUAAGAAGAUUUUCCUGCCACCUUUCAGAUCAGCAGCUUGAUCUAAAGAGAGUCCAGUACUUCCUGCAACAGUUCAUUAUGUGAGAAUAAUGAAGAGAAGGAUCUAAUAGCACACAGAUCAAACUGCCUUUUGAGGUAUCAGGGCCCUGAGGUCAGAGCAUCACAUUGCCACAAUGGAUCCCAGGAGAAAGAAAAAGUGUGUUAUUUUGAAAGACAUAAAAAUUUGGAACGCUG